ACGGAAGGCAGCAGUGGGGAAUAUUGGGCAAUGGAGGGAACUCUGACCCAGCAACGCCGCGUGAAUGAUGAAGGUCUUCGGAUUGUAAAGUUCUGUGAUGGGGGACGAAGAAAGUGACGGUACCCCAAUAGCAAGCUACGGCUAACUACGUGCCAGCAGCCGCGGUAAUACGUAAGUAGCAAGCGUUGUCCGGAAUGACUGGGCGUAAAGGGUGCGUAGGUUGCCUGGCAAGUUGGUAGUGAAAUUCCGAGGCUUAACUUCGGCGCUACUACCAAGACUGUCGGGCUUGAGUACAGGAGAGGUAAGCGGAAUUCCUAGUGUAGCGGUGGAAUGCGUAGAUAUUAGGAGGAACACCAGUGGCGAAGGCGACUUACUGGGCUUUAACUGACGCUGAGGCUCGAAAGCGUGGGGAGCAAACAGGAUUAGAUACCCUGGUA
rnacentral:rRNA from 1 species